rnacentral:lncRNA from 1 species
UGGGGGCAGUCAAUAUUCCCUGUAAGUUGUUGGGGUGUUACAAAUGGUAUCAAAGCCUAGCCUUUCCCAGUACGGUGUGGUUCGAGGAUGAACUAAGCGGAAGCUUUCCCAAAAAAUGUACGAGUGAGGACAAAGCACAUUGGAAAACCUCGUGUUGAUUUGUGGUGGUAGUCAAUAUUCCCUAUAUGUUGCUAGGGCGUUACAGUCGUCCCAUGUUACACUUGUCAUAUAGCACAAAUUUGAUUCCUCCUCUUGAUCAGAAUCUUCGUCACUUGAUUUCUCACAAUCUGAGUUCUCC